rnacentral:lncRNA from 14 species
UUGCACCCAAGCGACCUGGAAAACACUUCCCAGCAUCCCAUUGUUUCGGGAUGCCCUUCUCCAACACCAUUCCUCUGCUCACAGCUCUCUUUUCCAAUGGCACCAUGCACUGGCUCAUCAGGACACAGCAGGCACAGCACAUCACACCAUCAGCCUGCAGCCAAGAGCUGCCUGUCUGCAGCACUUCAGUGCCAAAGGACACCCCAAAGGACACAGAAGUUUUUCCAGUAUGGCCUGGAUCCUAUGGACGGAUUCCUUCCUGGCCUGACGAACGCUGCCCUGGCCUCCGGUCUCCACGGAAUCCAGCUCCAGCAGCAGCUUGCUGCUCGGCCUCCCCCAUAACAUGGAGGAUCCUUUGGAUUCCCGGCUGGAUGCCUGUGGAAUGCACUGUGGGUUGGUGCUCACCGGCUCGAUGCUCCCUAUUCCCAGCCCAAGGCUUCCGAGGUGCGUUGUCAUAGAGCUGGGGCUGGGCGCUGUACUGCACCUUGGGGUGCAGGGGGGCUGCUGUGGGCUCAUUCCCUGUCCCAUAGUGCUGGUGAUGGCCAUCGGGGUAGUAGCUGUGAUGGUUUGUGCCGUACUCGGGUUUAUCAUAAGCAACAUCCUAAGGCAGGAGGAGAAAAAGCCUUUUAAGUGUUUUUGCCUAAAAGCCAAGGGUUUCCCCCUUAUCUGACACUUGCUUUGUGCACAGAGGGCAGUGAUGCAGGCAGCAUCUUCUACACUGUCACACACCGUGAUGCUGUAACACAGCAGGACCCAAGUCCUGACAAGAGGUCCCAAAGAGAUACAGGACCCACAUGCAAGUCCUGGACCACUAAAGAGAGAUGCCAAUGAGGGUCCUGUCUGGGUAUCCCAAAGAUGCUUCUCUGUUCCCAUCCCUAAAUCCCUGCUGCAUUUAUCUCCUGAUAAUGAACAGACCACACCAGAUGCAUCAUUCCCUUCUGGUUUGGGUUUAAACAUUCCUCAGGAAGGGAUGGCUGUGCCCAAACCAAGCACUUGAAGAGGAAUUCCAAAGGGUACAGACUGGCCCUUAGGGAGUCCCAUGCUCUUCAAUGCUUGAGAGAGCUGUUGGACAAGGUCUGACCUAUUUCCCUGCCCUGGGAUGCCCAAUACCUCCAGUGCCUUUCUAUAGCUCCAGCCUUGGCUUUCGGUCUCGUGUAUGGAAAUAGGUGGUUUUGCUGCAGUACCUGGAUCCCUGCUGCUCUGUUCCUACCUAAACUAAGCAUGCUCAGGGAAAGGGGUUUGGGGAGGUGUUCCCCCAACCAGGACCCAGCAUCACUUUGCACUGCAUCACUGCACCAGCAUCCUACCUUUGAGUCCCAUGCGGUGGGGUGGGAAGAUGCUCCACUGCUGGUCCAGGAUGGGUGUGAAUCGGCCACAAAGGGGUUCCCAUGCACUGAAGCAGAGGCCCACGGAUACCGUGGCUGCACCCCAUAG